CAGGAUUUAGUUUAUUUAAAAUAUAUAUUUUACAUUUAUAAGAUGAUUUUUUCUUUCCUUAU
rnacentral:tRNA from 1 species